CUUUUAAAAGCCAUCCAACUUUUCACAUUGACAAAUCCAAGCAUUAUUAUUUCAAGCAUUGCAGAAGCUGCCUCCAUGUCCUUUAGGUGACAAAGCCUAUGAGGAUUCUGGAUUACUUGGAAUAAAGAAAGACAAGGAAGAGAAAGCUAAUUAACAGGCUGAAAAGAGGAGAAAAACUAACGUAAAAUAUCACCGAUGGAUUGCAUCAUGUUUAACACUGGCUACUACAUACCACUCUUUCUGUUGCUGAAGAUAAGGCUAUAAUAAAAAGGACUAUAUUUUAUUCUGUUAAUUUGUGCUUAUUAAAAUCUCAGGUUAUUCCACAAACAGUA